CAGGAUCAUGACUGGAGCCAAAGGCAGAUGCUCAACCACUGAGCCACCCAGCAAAACAUGAAAAGCAGGUGAACAACCAUCCUAGUGAAUGAAGGUUAAGAUGGAAGUUUUAGCACAUUUUAAACUACAGAGGAGGUACCAACAGUUCAAGUGGAAGAACUGGGAGGGAGAGCUGGGGGCACAGUGUUACGCCAGUCUCUGCAGCUGCAUCCACAAAUAAAAAUUGUGCUAAAGAGAGGCAGCAUGGCAAGCAAAAAGAAGGGACUGGAAGGAAGCCUGCUCCGAGUACUGCACCCGAGGCCUCCGCUAACACCCUUGUUUCUCUGGCUUGUUCUGCCGCCUGUAAAGCCAGCAUGGGACUUCAAUAGCUGUAACGUGUUAUAAUCCCAGGCGACUGUUGCCAUCAAGCCCCGAGCGCGGCCCCCCAGUGGGUCCCAGGGGUGGCUCGCGAAGCUGGCGCCCUGGGCACCCUGGCUCCCCGGGCACCCUGGCUCCCCGGGCACCCUGGCUCCCCCGGCACCCUGGCUCCCCGGGCACCCUGGCUCCCCCAGCACCCUGGCUCCCCCGGCACCCUGGCUCCCGGCGUCCCGAGCCCACCUUCGCCGCCCGGUGGAGCACCAGCCUCUUCCCGCGCGCCUGCCCCGAGCAGCAGCGCUGACCUCUCCCUGCGGCCCCCGGGGGCACCCCCAGACCCAAGCAGCCCGGGACCCGAAGGAACGAGAACUGAGAGUGGGUGCUGUCUUCCCAGGGGCCCAGAAUCAUGGGUCUCAUGUCUGACCGGUAGCCUCAAGGAGCGAGAGCACCGCCAUCCGGGCCACUUCCUUCCCCGGGGACCCCCGGGGACCCCGAGCUCACCCCAGAGCGCAGCCUCCGCCGACCUGAGGACCGCCCGGCGCGCACCCCCGAGCAGCGGCCCCGAGAGCGCCAUCCGCCGCACCCCGACGCCGGCCCGCGGCGCACCCGGACCCCGCUU